AUAACAAUCUGACAGGGCCUUGUUAGCUCUCUUCACUUUGUGCUUUCUCCUAGGAAUUGGUGAUCUUUCCAAUAAAGGAGGCUAUUAUCGGAGUCUACAUAUGCUUCUUCGAUAAGGGCAUGCUUAGCUAUUGCCUCACUUUGUCUAGGACCUCAUUUUCCACAGAUUAUUUGCAUAGUUUUUCUAGUAAUUUUUGUACUACAUUGUGUUGAGGUGAACAAAAAGAUAAUUCUUGUGCAGUAUAUGUAUACCUUCUUGUUCUACUGUUAACCUUUGGCUUACUUA